GUCUCUUUUCAGAGAUAUCCGAUAAAAUUGGAACGAUAUAAAAAAGAUUAAUAUGGCCUCUGCGUAAAGAUAACACACAAAUCGAGAAAUAAUCCAAAUUUAU
rfam:Eutrema salsugineum unplaced genomic scaffold scaffold_1, whole genome shotgun sequence.